GGGGGGGGGUGGGGGGGGGGCGGGGGGGGGCGGGUGGGGGGAAGAGGGGGGGGGCGGGCUCCUCUGACGUUAGCGGCGGACGGGUGGGUACCCCGGGGAUAACCUGACUAUGAGACUGGGAUAACUGCGGGGAACCUGAGCUAAUACCGGCUACUCUAUUGAACCGCAUGGUUCAGUAGGGAAAGACGGGUUUGCUGUCACUUCGAUAUUGACCCACGCCGCAUUAGCUCGUUGGUAAGGUACCGGCUUACCAAGUCAACGAUCCGUAGCCAACCUGAGAGGGUUAUCGGCCACACUGGAACUGAGACACGGUCCAGACUCCUACGGGAGGCAGCAGUAGGGAAUCGUCCGCAAUGGGCGAAAGCCUGACGGAGCAACGCCGCGUGAGUGAUGAAGGUCUUCGGAUCGUAAAACUCUGUUAUUAGGGAAGAACAAAUGUGUAAGUAACUAUGCACGUCGUGACGGUACCUAAUCAGAAAGCCACGGCUAACUACGUG
rnacentral:rRNA from 1 species